CAUUAACCCGAUCAUGUGACCGGAUGCUCCGGAAACACAUCACCUACUUUGUGUGACUAUACACUGGUAAAAGCUGCACCAGUUUGUAUUUUUAAGUUUAGCAUCCAUUUCACCUUCUAUUGUGUUUUUUGUACUUUUCUAGUCACGAAAGAAAGUUUGGUCUGCAAAUAUGUUAUUUUUCUUAAAUAAACAAAAUUGGCGAGAUCAUGCAUGUGAAAAAAUUGAGAAAGAGAACUCUGUGGCAGAACCUUUAAUAAUCCUAAG